rnacentral:rRNA from 1 species
AGAGAUUGAACUGAAGAGUUUGAUCCUGGCUCAGAUUGAACGCUGGCGGGAUGCUUUACACAUGCAAGUCGGACGGCAGCACGGGCUUCGGCCUGGUGGCGAGUGGCGAACGGGUGAGUAAUGUAUCGGAACGUGCCCAGUAGCGGGGGAUAACUACGCGAAAGCGUGGCUAAUACCGCAUACGCCCUACGGGGGAAAGCGGGGGACCUUCGGGCCUCGCACUAUUGGAGCGGCCGAUAUCGGAUUAGCUAGUUGGUGGGGUAACGGCCUACCAAGGCGACGAUCCGUAGCUGGUUUGAGAGGACGACCAGCCACACUGGGACUGAGACACGGCCCAGACUCCUACGGGAGGCAGCAGUGGGGAAUUUUGGACAAUGGGGGCAACCCUGAUCCAGCCAUCCCGCGUGUGCGAUGAAGGCCUUCGGGUUGUAAAGCACUUUUGGCAGGAAAGAAACGGCACGGGCUAAUAUCCUGUGCAACUGACGGUACCUGCAGAAUAAGCACCGGCUAACUACGUGCCAGCAGCCGCGGUAAUACGUAGGGUGCAAGCGUUAAUCGGAAUUACUGGGCGUAAAGCGUGCGCAGGCGGUUCGGAAAGAAAGAUGUGAAAUCCCAGGGCUUAACCUUGGAACUGCAUUUUUAACUACCGGGCUAGAGUGUGUCAGAGGGAGGUGGAAUUCCGCGUGUAGCAGUGAAAUGCGUAGAUAUGCGGAGGAACACCGAUGGCGAAGGCAGCCUCCUGGGAUAACACUGACGCUCAUGCACGAAAGUGUGGGGAGCAAACAGGAUUAGAUACCCUGGUAGUCCACGCCCUAAACGAUGUCAACUAGCUGUUGGGGCCUUCGGGCCUUGGUAGCGCAGCUAACGCGUGAAGUUGACCGCCUGGGGAGUACGGUCGCAAGAUUAAAACUCAAAGGAAUUGACGGGGACCCGCACAAGCGGUGGAUGAUGUGGAUUAAUUCGAUGCAACGCGAAAAACCUUACCUACCCUUGACAUGUCUGGAAUCCCGAAGAGAUUUGGGAGUGCUCGCAAGAGAACCGGAACACAGGUGCUGCAUGGCUGUCGUCAGCUCGUGUCGUGAGAUGUUGGGUUAAGUCCCGCAACGAGCGCAACCCUUGUCAUUAGUUGCUACGAAAGGGCACUCUAAUGAGACUGCCGGUGACAAACCGGAGGAAGGUGGGGAUGACGUCAAGUCCUCAUGGCCCUUAUGGGUAGGGCUUCACACGUCAUACAAUGGUCGGGACAGAGGGUUGCCAACCCGCGAGGGGGAGCCAAUCCAGAAACCCGGUCGUAGUCCGGAUCGCAGUCUGCAACUCGACUGCGUGAAGUCGGAAUCGCUAGUAAUCGCGGAUCAGCAUGUCGCGGUGAAUACGUUCCCGGGUCUUGUACACACCGCCCGUCACACCAUGGGAGUGGGUUUUACCAGAAGUAGUUAGCCUAACCGCAAGGGGGGCGAUUACCACGGUAGGAUUCAUGACUGGGGUGAAGUCGUAACAAGGUAGCCGUAUCGGAAGGUGCGGCUGGAUCACCUCCUUUAAGA